rnacentral:rRNA from 1 species
UGGGGAAUAUUGGACAAUGGGCGAAAGCCUGAUCCAGCCAUGCCGCGUGUGUGAAGCAGGACUUCGGAUUGUAAAGCACUUUAAGUUGGGAGGAAGGGCAUUAACCUAAUACGUUAGUGUUUUGACGUUACCGACAGAAUAAGCACCGGCUAACUCUGUGCCAGCAGCCGCGGUAAUACAGAGGGUGCAAGCGUUAAUCGGAAUUACUGGGCGUAAAGCGCGCGUAGGUGGUUUGUUAAGUUGGAUGUGAAAUCCCCGGGCUCAACCUGGGAACUGCAUUCAAAACUGACUGACUAGAGUAUGGUAGAGGGUGGUGGAAUUUCCUGUGUAGCGGUGAAAUGCGUAGAUAUAGGAAGGAACACCAGUGGCGAAGGCGACCACCUGGACUAAUACUGACACUGAGGUGCGAAAGCGUGGGGAGCAAACA